rnacentral:rRNA from 1 species
AGCAGUAGCCGCGGUAAUACGUAGGUGGCAAGCGUUGUCCGGAAUUAUUGGGCGUAAAGGGCUCGCAGGCGGUUUCUUAAGUCUGAUGUGAAAGCCCCCGGCUCAACCGGGGAGGGUCAUUGGAAACUGGGAAACUUGAGUGCAGAAGAGGAGAGUGGAAUUCCACGUGUAGCGGUGAAAUGCGUAGAGAUGUGGAGGAACACCGGUGGCGAAGGCGACUCUCUGGUCUGUAACUGACGCUGAGGAGCGAAAGCGUGGGGAGCGAACAGGAUUAGAUACCCCCGUAGUCCCUGUCUCUUAUAC